AUUGAACGCUGGCGGCAGGCCUAACACAUGCAAGUCGAACGAGUGGCGGACGGGUGAGUAAUGUCUGGGAAACUGCCUGAUGGAGGGGGAUAACUACUGGAAACGGUAGCUAAUACCGCAUACCAUCGGAUGUGCCCAGAUGGGAUUAGCUAGUAGGUGGGGUAAAGGCUCACCUGGGCGACGAUCCCUAGCUGGUCUGAGAGGAUGACCAUCCACACUGGAACUGCUACACUGUCCAGACUCCUACGGGAGGCAGCAGUGGGGAAUAUUGAACAAUGGGCGCAAGCCUUAUGCAUCCAUGCCUCGUGUAUGAAGAAGGCUUUCGGGUUGUAAAGUACUUUCAGCGGGGAGGCGUUACCCGCAGAAGAAGCACCGGCUAACUCCGUGCCAGCAGCCGCGGUAAUAC
rnacentral:rRNA from 1 species